rnacentral:tRNA from 1 species
GUCAGGAUGGCCGAGCGGUCUAAGGCGCCAGAUUUAAGCUCUGGUUCUCUAACGAGAGCGUGGGUUCGAACCCCACUCCUGCAUUGCA